AAUAUUAUAUUUUAGGUUCUAACGAAUAUUUAGGUAAUUAUGGAAGUGGAUAUAAUACAAAUGCAUACGGAAGUGGAUAUGGCACAAAUGGAUAUGGAAGCGGCUAUUCUGGAUACACUUCUGGAAAUGUUCAAACUCACACUCACACGCAUGAAUUGAGGACAGUUACUCAACAUGUUCCUGUUCCUGUGCCUCAACCAUACCCAGUAACUAUUGAAAAACAUGUGCCCGUACCACAACCUUACCCUGUUGAAGUACCGAAGCCAUAUGCGGUUUCAGUACAUAUCCAAGUACCUGUGGAAGUGCCAAAACCCUAUGAAGUGAAAGUACCGCACCCGGUUUAUGUGCCGUAUGAAGUCAAAGUACCUGUUGAGGUUCCCAAACCGUACCCUGUCACAGUGACCAAAACCGUUUCUGUUCCAGUGGAAAAACCCGUAUACGUAAAGGUUCCUACUCCCGUACAUGUAGCAGUACCACAACAGUACCCAGUUGAAGUCACAACUCCGGUAUACGUUUCCAAGAUACUCAACAAACACAUACCUUCCAAGCAACUUAGGACUUUACAAUAGUGGUUCAUCAUAUGGUCAGAGUUCGGGCUAUGGAAAUAAUUACUCCAAUUCAUAUGGAUCGGGAUAUUCAAAUUCUGGAUCGUAUGCCAGUUUAUCUCCAUAUUCAUCCGGAUAUGGAAGCGGAGCGUCAACUACAGGUCUUUUGAACUCUUACGUCCCAAGCCGCUCCGGAGGAUAUUCAUCGUCUUACUCAUCCGCUUGGUAGAUUUA
rnacentral:lncRNA from 1 species